rnacentral:rRNA from 1 species
AGUGAACGCUGGCGGUAGGCCUGACACAUGCAAGUCGAACGGCAGCACAGUAAGAGCUUGCUCUUACGGGUGGCGAGUGGCGGACGGGUGAGGAAUACAUCGGAAUCUACUUUUUCGUGGGGGAUAACGUAGGGAAACUUACGCUAAUACCGCAUACGACCUACGGGUGAAAGCAGGGGAUCUUCGGACCUUGCGCGAUUGAAUGAGCCGAUGUCGGAUUAGCUAGUUGGCGGGGUAAAGGCCCACCAAGGCGACGAUCCGUAGCUGGUCUGAGAGGGUGGUAGCCCACACGGGAAGUGAGACACGACCCAGACCACUAGGGGAGGGCGCAGUGGGGAAUGGUGGAAAAUGGGGGAAAGCAUGACCGAGCAAUGCGGGGUGGGAGAAGAAGGCGUUCGGUUUGUAAGGCCGUUUUGUGGGGAAAAAAAAGCAGCAGUUGAAGACCCGGCUGUAGUGACGGUACCCAAAAAAUAAGCACCGGCUAACUACGUG